CGACUCUCGGCAACGGAUAUCUCGGCUCUCGCAUCGAUGAAGAACGUAGCGAAAUGCGAUACUUGGUGUGAAUUGCAGAAUCCCGUGAACCAUCGAGUCUUUGAACGCAAGUUGCGCCCGAAGCCGUCAGGCUGAGGGCACGCCUGCCUGGGUGUCACG
rnacentral:rRNA from 1 species